rnacentral:rRNA from 1 species
UAGGGAAUCUUCGGCAACGGGGGCAACCCUGACCGAGCAACGCCGCGUGAGUGAAGAAGGUUUUCGGAUCGUAAAGCUCUGUUGUAAGUCAAGAACGGGUGUGAGAGUGGAAAGUUCACACUGUGACGGUAGCUUACCAGAAAGGGACGGCUAACUACGUGCCAGCAGCCGCGGUAAUACGUAGGUCCCGAGCGUUGUCCGGAUUUAUUGGGCGUAAAGCGAGCGCAGGCGGUUUGAUAAGUCUGAAGUUAAAGGCUGUGGCUCAACCAUAGUUCGCUUUGGAAACUGUCAAACUUGAGUGCAGAAGGGGAGAGUGGAAUUCCAUGUGUAGCGGUGAAAUGCGUAGAUAUAUGGAGGAACACCGGUGGCGAAAGCGGCUCUCUGGUCUGUAACUGACGCUGAGGCUCGAAAGCGUGGGGAGCGAACAGGAUUAGAUACCCUGG